rnacentral:rRNA from 1 species
UGGGGAAUUUUGGACAAUGGGCGCAAGCCUGAUCCAGCCAUGCCGCGUGUGUGAAGAAGGCCUUCGGGUUGUAAAGCACUUUCGGACGGAACGAAAUCGCGCGCAUGAACAAUGCGCGUGGAUGACGGUACCGUAAGAAGAAGCACCGGCUAACUACGUGCCAGCAGCCGCGGUAAUACGUAGGGUGCAAGCGUUAAUCGGAAUUACUGGGCGUAAAGGGUGCGCAGGCGGCCCCGCAUGUCAGGCGUGAAAUCCCCGGGCUCAACUUGGGAAUGGCGCUUGAAACUACGGGGCUGGAGUGUGGCAGAGGGAGGUGGAAUUCCACGUGUAGCGGUGAAAUGCGUAGAGAUGUGGAGGAACACCGAUGGCGAAGGCAGCCUCCUGGGCCAACACUGACGCUCAUGCACGAAAGCGUGGGGAGCAA